rnacentral:tRNA from 2 species
GGAGGAGUACCCAAGUGGAUAAAAGGGGGCGGUCUUGAAAACCGCUAGGUCGGAAACGGUGCGAGGGUUCGAAUCCCUCUUCCUCCGCCA